rnacentral:rRNA from 1 species
GAAGGGACUAGCGUAGUCCGGAAUUACUGGGCUUAAAGAGUUCGUAGGUGGUUGAAAAAGUUGGUGGUGAAAUCCCAGAGCUUAACUCUGGAACUGCCAUCAAAACUUUUCAGCUAGAGUAUGAUAGAGGAAAGCAGAAUUUCUAGUGUAGAGGUGAAAUUCGUAGAUAUUAGAAAGAAUACCAAUUGCGAAGGCAGCUUUCUGGAUCAUUACUGACACUGAGGAACGAAAGCAUGGGUAGCGAAGAGGAUUAGAUACCCUCGUAGUCCAUGCCGUAAACGAUGUGUGUUAGACGUUGGAAAUUUAUUUUCAGUGUCGCAGCGAAAGCGAUAAACACACCGCCUGGGGAGUACGACCGCAAGGUUAAAACUCAAAUGAAUUGACGGGGACCCGCACAAGUAGUGGAGCAUGUGGUUUAAUUCGAAGAUACGCGCAGAACCUUACCAACACUUGACAUGUUCGUCGCGACUUUAAGAGAUUAAAGUUUUCGGUUCGGCCGGACGAAACACAGGUGCUGCAUGGCUGUCGUCAGCUCGUGUCGUGAGAUGUUGGGUUAAGUCCCGCAACGAGCGCAACCCUCACUUUUAGUUGCCAUCAUUUAGUUGGGCCCUCUGAAAGAACUGCCAGUGAUAAGCUGGAGGAAGGUGGGGAUGACGUCAAGUCCUCAUGGCCCUUACGUGUUGGGCUACACACGUGCUACAAUGGUAUCUACAACAGGAAGCAAAAUCGCGAGGUUAAGCAAAUCCUUAAAAGAUACCUCAGUUCGGAUUGCACUCUGCAACUCGAGUGCAUGAAGCUGGAAUUACUAGUAAUCGUGGAUCAGCGUGCCACGGUGAAUGCGUUCCCGGGUCUU